rnacentral:rRNA from 1 species
UGAAGGACGUGCUAAUCUGCGAUAAGCGUCGGUAAGGUGAUAUGAACCGUUAUAACCGGCGAUUUCCGAAUGGGGAAACCCAGUGUGUUUCGACACACUAUCAUUAACUGAAUCCAUAGGUUAAUGAGGCGAACCGGGGGAACUGAAACAUCUAAGUACCCCGAGGAAAAGAAAUCAACCGAGAUUCCCCCAGUAGCGGCGAGCGAACGGGGAACAGCCCAGAGCCUGAAUCAGUGUGUGUGUUAGUGGAAGCGUCUGGAAAGGCGCGCGAUACAGGGUGACAGCCCCGUACACAAAAAUGCACAUGCUGUGAGCUCGAUGAGUAGGGCGGGACACGUGGUAUCCUGUCUGAAUAUGGGGGGACCAUCCUCCAAGGCUAAAUACUCCUGACUGACCGAUAGUGAACCAGUACCGUGAGGGAAAGGCGAAAAGAACCCCGGCGAGGGGAGUGAAAAAGAACCUGAAACCGUGUACGUACAAGCAGUGGGAGCACGCUUAGGCGUGUGACUGCGUACCUUUUGUAUAAUGGGUCAGCGACUUAUAUUCUGUAGCAAGGUUAACCGAAUAGGGGAGCCGAAGGGAAACCGAGUCUUAACUGGGCGUUAAGUUGCAGGGUAUAGACCCGAAACCCGGUGAUCUAGCCAUGGGCAGGUUGAAGGUUGGGUAACACUAACUGGAGGACCGAACCGACUAAUGUUGAAAAAUUAGCGGAUGACUUGUGGCUGGGGGUGAAAGGCCAAUCAAACCGGGAGAUAGCUGGUUCUCCCCGAAAGCUAUUUAGGUAGCGCCUCGUGAAUUCAUCUCCGGGGGUAGAGCACUGUUUCGGCAAGGGGGUCAUCCCGACUUACCAACCCGAUGCAAACUGCGAAUACCGGAGAAUGUUAUCACGGGAGACACACGGCGGGUGCUAACGUCCGUCGUGAAGAGGGAAACAACCCAGACCGCCAGCUAAGGUCCCAAAGUCAUGGUUAAGUGGGAAACGAUGUGGGAAGGCCCAGACAGCCAGGAUGUUGGCUUAGAAGCAGCCAUCAUUUAAAGAAAGCGUAAUAGCUCACUGGUCGAGUCGGCCUGCGCGGAAGAUGUAACGGGGCUAAACCAUG